GUGAAGUGCAUAGCUAAGCCCCAUGAGGAGCCUACAACAUGUACGAAAGAAAAGGAACAAGGAAUGCGCCCGUAACGGCGAAGUUUGCGAUGACAAGGAAGGAAAAGUGAAGUGCAUAGCUAAGCCCCAUGAGGAGCCUACAACAUGUACGAAAGAAAAGGACAAGAAUGCGCCCGUAACGGCCGAAGUUUGCGAUGACAAGGAAGGAAAAGUGAAGUGCAUCGCUAAGCCCCAUGAGGAGCCUACACAUGUACGAAAGAAAAGGAACAAGAAUGCGCCCGUAACGGCCAAGUUUGC
rnacentral:lncRNA from 1 species